UGGGGAAUUUUGGACAAUGGGCGAAAGCCUGAUCCAGCCAUGCCGCGUGAGUGAAGAAGGCCUUCGGGUUGUAAAGCUCUUUCGCAAGGAAAGAAAACUUAUCUACUAAUACUAGGUGAGGUUGACGGUACCUUGAUAAGAAGCACCGGCUAACUACGUGCCAGCAGCCGCGGUAAUACGUAGGGUGCGAGCGUUAAUCGGAAUUACUGGGCGUAAAGCGUGCGCAGGCGGUUCGAUAAGUCUGAUGUGAAAUCCCCGGGCUCAACCUGGGAACUGCGUUGGAAACUGUCGAGCUAGAGUGUAGAAGAGGGGGGUAGAAUUCCACGUGUAGCAGUGAAAUGCGUAGAGAUGUGGAGGAAUACCGAUGGCGAAGGCAGCCCCCUGGGCUAACACUGACGCUCAUGCACGAAAGCGUGGGGAGCAAACAGG
rnacentral:rRNA from 1 species